GUGCCAGCAGCCGCGGUAAUACGUAGGGAGCAAGCGUUGUCCGGAAUCAUUGGGCGUAAAGCGCGCGUAGGUGGCUUCGUAAGUCCGUUGUGAAAGUCAAAGGCUCAACCUUUGAAAGCCGAUGGAUACUGCGGAGCUAGAGUACGGAAGAGGCGAGUGGAAUUCCUGGUGUAGCGGUGGAAUGCGCAGAUAUCAGGAGGAACACCAAUAGCGAAGGCAGCUCGCUGGGACGUUACUGACACUGAGGCGCGAAAGCGUGGGGAGCGAACAGGAUUAGAAACCCGGGUAGUCC
rnacentral:rRNA from 1 species